GGGAGGUGAAGAAGAACCAUUGGUCCGUGUUUCUGACAGUCUAAUGAUGCAAGAAACUCCCAUUUACUUCUGAUCCU
rnacentral:snoRNA from 1 species